CCGAAGGUCAAAGUUUUCUUAUUAAACUUUUAAGGAAGGUUGAAAACGAGCGCGUAGAAAGGUGAUAUAUGUAUUAUACAGGAUAUACUGGUUUCUAUAUAGUUAAACUUAUGGUGCAAAAACAGAAAGUAAACAAAAAUGGCUAAGAAGUUUAAUGUGAUUAUGUGUGCAACAGACUGUUUCAAGUGGUCAUGCUCAAUAUUCUGGACACUCACUGGAAUAAUGUUCGUUCUUGCUGCAGAGCUUACACAAGGGAGUCAUUGCAAGAGCGAUAGCAAUCAAAGGACACUAAUUGCUCUUCCUAUAGUAUCUGCAUGUACAAUGCUGUUUUCGGGGAUAAGUAUAUGUUCAGGAAUGGGAGUUUGUUUAAAAGUGCUUUGUUCCGUAAUUUGGACAAUAACUGGAAUAGUAUGUACGACUUUGUCAUGUUAUUUUAUCUCUAUGGAUUGCAAAGACAUGGAAGCAGUAUUGAUUGGACUUGUUUUGACUGGUUCCGUGACAAUCUGGAUAGGUGGAUGUGUUAUUGGACGUCUAACACAACAAGGCGGAGGUUUUAGGAAAAUAUAAUAAAAUAGUGGUCUUUA